rnacentral:rRNA from 1 species
AUGUCGUCCGUCCAGUGCUCCGCCUGCGGCUCCCGCACCCACCGCAGGAACCACUGCGCCGCCUCGCCUUGCUCACGCUGCGGGGGAAACGGCCACUUCGAGGCCCUCUGCACCACCCCCGCCGGCUUCGACUCGGCCAGCGCCACCCGCUGCGGCGUCUGUGGUGGCGCCGGCCACGCGGACGAAGACUGCGCCACCACGGAGACUGCCGACAUCUGGUGCGAGACCUGCGGCAAGCUGGGGCACCGGCCUAGGGACUGCCCCACGCGCACCGGAGGCCGCGACGACCCAUACGUCGCGUUUACGGGCUACGACGCCUGCCAAUUCUGCGGUGAGCCGGGGCACUUCGCGCCCGCCUGCCCCCAACGGCGCCUGUAG